GACGAACGCUGGCGGCGUGCCUAAUACAUGCAAGUAGAACGCUGAAGGAGGAGCUUGCUUCUCUGGAUGAGUUGCGAACGGGUGAGUAACGCGUAGGUAACCUGCCUGGUAGCGGGGGAUAACUAUUGGAAACGAUAGCUAAUACCGCAUAAGAGUAGAUGUUGCAUGACAUUUGCUUAAAAGGUGCAAUUGCAUCACUACCAGAUGGACCUGCGUUGUAUUAGCUAGUUGGUGGGGUAACGGCUCACCAAGGCGACGAUACAUAGCCGACCUGAGAGGGUGAUCGGCCACACUGGGACUGAGACACGGCCCAGACUCCUACGGGAGGCAGCAGUAGGGAAUCUUCGGCAAUGGACGGAAGUCUGACCGAGCAACGCCGCGUGAGUGAAGAAGGUUUUCGGAUCGUAAAGCUCUGUUGUAAGAGAAGAACGAGUGUGAGAGUGGAAAGUUCACACUGUGACGGUAUCUUACCAGAAAGGGACGGCUAACUACGUGCCAGCAGCCGCGGUAAUACGUAGGUGGCAAGCGUUAUCCGGAUUUAUUGGGCGUAAAGCGUCCGUAGGUUUUUUGCUAAGUCUGGAGUUAAAUGCUGAAGCUCAACUUCAGUCCGCUUUGGAUACUGGCAAAAUAGAAUUAUAAAGAGGUUAGCGGAAUUCCUAGUGUAGCGGUGAAAUGCGUAGAGAUCUGGAGGAAUACCGAUGGCGAAGGCAGCCAUCUGGCCUAAUACUGACGCUGAGGUACGAAAGCAUGGGGAGCAAACAGG
rnacentral:rRNA from 1 species